rnacentral:lncRNA from 1 species
AUCUCAGCCUAAAUUCAUUCGAUUUUUACCUAGAGAUGAGGAAUGUGUUAAAUCACUCUACUCCACAAGGAACCAAACCAAACAGCAUCAGCACCAGGCUGAGUCGCGGAAAGGAUCUGUCAGACCGCUCCACUGGCAUCGACUCAGCUCGGGAGCUACGUUCAAAGAAGGAGGACAUUUAAGGUGAAAGGGUUGCAGGCAGAGGGGCCUGGAGCAGCAGGAGGCCACCUCCCAAAGGCUCCACUCCCAGGGGCCAACAGAGAGACCACAUCCAGAAUUGAACCAGGGAUACGCAGACACCAACGGAGAAGACAUGAGCGUCAACCUCCUCCACGGAGCAGCACGGCUUCUCUACUGACAUCCAUGAACUAGACUACAACUCUCUAAGUUAAUCAAAUUUACUAAGUUAGUUAUCACCGACAUCACUGUUCCAUGUCAAAUCCAUGGAUUCAUGAGUCAAAGAAACAGCAGUGAACAGCCUUCAGGCUACGGUUUGGGCCAUUCCUCUGCCAGCGUAUUCCAGCCAAAGUCUGUUUUCCUAUCAGACUACUCACUGCAAGGCACAGAAGUGAGCGCGGGAUCUAAGGCCACACCGCAGGGUCUGAACUCACUUAACUGGCCCAACACUGCACAAGAUACUUAAUCCUCCUGAACCUCAGUUUCUUCAUCUGCGUACGGGGGAUAUGAACCCCCACAUGCUGGACUGCUCUGAGAAUUGAGUUAAUGCGUGUAAAACAUGAGAGCUGCUCUGGCACCCACCAGGCGCUCACCGGGCGCCAGCACCACCAGUGCAUACCUCGACCGUGUGUGGGCGCACAGGCCUCCGUUCCUUUUUACUCCGACCGAUGCUUCUAAGGAAGUCUUCGACCGCUUUUUCUGUCUGAGGCAUCUGCUGAGGAGUCGCAUUCACUGAACACCUGUUUGAAAAAUUAUGUAUACAUAAAACCACUGUUAGAAAAAACAGUUUUAGUAAUUCAUCACAUUUUGUAUAACUCAAUAAUGUUGUUUUUAUAGAAAAUACUGUUCAGAGUGUUAAACAGCAGCCAAAUGUGGAAAUGCCACGGCCGCCUCCCUGCUCUUCAGUGCUUCAGGUUAUCAAGAGAUUUCCGCACAGUUCAAUGUGGCAGCUAAUGAAGCCGUCCAUACGCGGAGCCUGUGACUCUAAACUCUAGUUCUUCUGAAGAGCAAAGAAAAUACAGAGACUAUUAAGAUCUGCUAACCGUGCCUUCGGAAUUACACUAUCAAAACACUGACAACUUUUAAAAUUACUGUCCAGAAGUCAUCAAUUUGAAAAUGUGAACUGGUUGUUAAAGCAGAACAUUAUAAACUGCAAAAAAAUACCAUGCUCUCAAAGUUACAUGAAAAUAGAACUCUUCCAAAUUCCACAGAAUUGCAAAUACUACUAUCAUAUAAAAGCUACUUGAACUCUACAGUAUAUUGACAGAGUGUAUAUUUUUUCCUUUCAGCUGUAAAUCCUGAACUUAUUCUAGUUAAAGUAACAGCAGGUACCAUUAUAUUAAUACUAACUAUAUCCCAGGCAUGUAUGCUGCCUUGCAGAUAUUCUUUCUUUUAUUCCUUACGAUAAACCUGCAAAGGAAGGUUUUAUGGAGGAGGAAGCAGAAGACGCAAGUGGGUCAGCUGCCCAGGACCGCCUGGGAGCGAGUGUGAGUGCUGACCCGGCGGCACCAGAAGCCAGGCCUGCCUGAGCCCAAUGCCAAGAGACCCUGAUCGCCAGGCUUCACCUCUGGCCACCCACAGACCGCCCUGUAGAAUCUGCCAGGGAUUCUCAGGACAUGACUGGGGAAAGGCAUCAGGACUCUGUGUGAAGAAGGACAAGUGACUUCAGCAAACAUUUUCUUGUUAAGUACUGAUGAAUACAUCAAUGUCACUGACAAUAAGAUGCUGAAAAUAAACAAUCAUUUUUAAACUUUAUUCAUGCUCACACAUCUGAGGGCAUAAGGCCAACUGAAGGUAUAGGACUGAGCUGCCAGAUGUUUCCUCAAAGCAUCACAUAAUUUUAUAAGAAACUGCACUUUUACUCUGGUCUUCAGCAAGCUCACCUUUACAGAUACCUCAGUUACGGACCAUGUGCUUUUGGAAGCAAUAUAACUACUUGCCCUCAAUCUAUUUGCACUUCUAGCACAAAAUUAGCCUGCUUUCUUCCCCAUCUCCUACAACUUUUAAUAGGCUUAAAAUAUUUUCUUAGUUUGUUAGAACACUUGACAUUUACAAUAAAUUCUAUAACCUUU